rnacentral:rRNA from 1 species
GAUGAACGCUGGCGGCGUGCCUAAUACAUGCAAGUCGAGCGAAUGGAUUAAGAGCUUGCUCUUAUGAAGUUAGCGGCGGACGGGUGAGUAACACGUGGGUAACCUGCCCAUAAGACUGGGAUAACUCCGGGAAACCGGGGCUAAUACCGGAUAACAUUUUGAACCGCAUGGUUCGAAAUUGAAAGGCGGCUUCGGCUGUCACUUAUGGAUGGACCCGCGUCGCAUUAGCUAGUUGGUGAGGUAACGGCUCACCAAGGCAACGAUGCGUAGCCGGCCUGAGAGGGUGGUCGGCCAAACUGGGACUGAGACACGGCCCAGACUCCGACGGGAGGCAGCAGUAGGGAAUCUUCCGCAAGGGACGAAAGUCUGACGGAGCAACGCCGCGUGAGUGAUGAAGGCUUUCGGGUCGUAAAACUCUGUUGUUAGGGAAGAACAAGUGCUAGUUGAAUAAGCUGGCACCUUGACGGUACCUAACCAGAAAGCCACGGCUAACUACGUGCCAGCCGCCGCGGUAA